rnacentral:piRNA from 1 species
UACAAGCUGCUGUUGACUGUGGUGAAUGC